CUGAGCUAAUGUAACCAGAACAAACCCUUCUCUCAUUCCUUAUCCUCUCUCCACCUCUCUAUAUCUCUCUCUUCCCCUCCUCUCUCUACCUUCCUCCAACCAUGUCUUCUGCAACCGCCGCUUUUUUGAAGCCAAUAUCAAUAGCCGAAAGUUGCCUACCCUCUGUGCCAGCCCUCUUCGCCCCCAAAAACCAAUACCCAAUUCUUUCACUUCCUUCAAAACCCACCAAGCUCUCAGCCGUCUCAUGCUCAUUUACGCCUUCUCUCCCUUCAUGGGUCUCUCUCAAGCACAAGUCUUUACCUCUGCAUGUGGCUCAGACCUCGGACUGGGCUCAAGAAGAAGAAGUAAAAGAAGAGGGUUCGGGUUUUGAGAGUGAAGGGGUCGAGGAAACAGAGGACGGGGUAGAGGCAAGUGCUUUAUCUGAUGGGGAAGAGAGUUCUGGAGACGGAGUUUUAGCGGUUGGUGAAGAAGAAUACUAUCCCGAACCACCCGAAGAGGCCAAGCUCUAUGUGGGUAAUUUGCCUUACGAUGUUGAUAGUGAGAAACUUGCUCAUAUCUUCAACGAGGCUGGGGUUGUUGAGAUUGCUGAGGUAAAUUUAGUGUCUUUGAUGCUCUGUGUAUGCUUCGCAGUUAAAAUUGCAGCGUUGGAAUUAUUGUCACAUGGUAUUGUGUUUUCUCUUUGCAAUUACUAGGUGAUCUACAAUAGGGAAACAGAUCAGAGUAGAGGGUUUGGGUUUGUGACUAUGAGUACUGUUGAAGAAGCUGAGAAGGCUGUACAGUUGUUCCACCGUUAUGUAAGUUGCAUAUUCCUUUGUUAAUUCUCGUUCUUUUUUCUUUUCCAGUACAAUUAAAAAGAGAAUAAACUAAUUCGUUGUCAACAUUCUGAACUUAAAAGAAGUAUAAAUGUAGCAAAAAGCGUGCCUCUUGAUACAUUUGGGUCCAAUUACAAAGUGGCAUUACGUUGAUUUAAUUUCUUAAUUCCGGCAUCUUUUAAUAAAUCUUUCCUCCCAAAUGCAAUGAGAAAACUAGUUAAAUUUCAAACUCUCAUAUAAAUUGAGGAGUGUUUUAAAGUUACGUUUGUUCUUACACAGGAUAUAGGUGGAAGACUUUUGACUGUAAACAAGGCUGCUCCUAGGGGGUCACGUCCUGAAAGACCUCCUCGAGUGAAUGAACCUUCUUUCAGAAUCUAUGUUGGUAACCUGCCAUGGCAAGUUGAUGAUUCUCGUUUGGAGCAGGUUUUCAGUGAACAUGGAAAGGUGGUCAGUGCCAGGGUAGUAUAUGACCGGGAAACAGGGCGCUCACGCGGGUUUGGUUUUGUUACGUUUUCUAGUGAGACAGAAGUGGAUGAUGCCAUUGCUGCUCUUGAUGGACAGGUAUAGACUUGCCUUUGUUUCAUGAGUGUUGAAAUAUUAUCUUUCUGCCAAUUUAGAGUAUGCCAAGAAACUGAUAAUUACUUUAGUUUCUAGGAUAUCACUCAAUCCAUUAGAUUUUCGGAUGUUACUCAUACCAUUUGGGAUUCAUAAUUCGGCAACAGAUUAACUUUAUUUCCGAAUAUGGGUCUAGUAUGUAUCAUUUGUGGAGUCUUAUCUAUUUCUUUGGCCUGUCCGCUUGUAUGCAACAUCUGAACACGUUUGAGUCAAUCGAGUCAUGGAUCUCUGCCAAUUGACUUGGACUCAAUCCCACAAUUCAUAAAAAGGAAGAGCCAUGAAGUUCUCAUGUUUGAUUUAGUCAUUCGUUUUCUUGUUUUAGACUCAAAUGAAGUCACCUUACAACUAAUUGUGUAUUGUUAUCUCAGUGCCUUUCUAUUAAUUAACAAAGACCCUCAUUUUGUUCUACAUUGGCUGUGCAGAGUUUGGAUGGCAGAUCAAUCCGAGUAAAUGUUGCUGAAGAGCGACCAAGGCGUGGCUCAUUUUCCAUUUAAGAAGAUAAUUAUUCACUAUUUUAUAUGAGCAGAUUGGUGCUUAGCUUUUGGAGAGGGUCCUAGCAUUCUUCUACUUUUGCCCCCAUCUUCUUAUAUUUGCCGCCUUCGACGAGAUAUUUUCUUUUAGGGAUUUAAAGUUUUUACAGAUAGGUUAUUAUUCUACCUUGUGUAUCUUCUAGCAUGUUGACAACAGUAUGUCCUGUAUCAUCUUUGUUACAUUGUAUCAAUUGAAUGCAAUUCUCCUUCUCAUCUUAUUACAUUUUUGACACACAUGCAAAAAUAAUUCAUCAAAAACACAAAAGGAAAAAUUUAUGCACAUGUCACACUGCUAGUGGUAGGAAUGUAAGAGUUCCUACUUAUAUGAUAAGGAGGGAAGUAUUUUUCAUUGACAAAUGUAUGAAAACAAUACAGAAAUGAAAGUCUCUGUAUUGACCCAAAAAACAAAGAAAGUCUGCAAAUGUCCACAAAUGAACUUUUUUCAGCUUCCGGUUAGAAAAAGGGAAAUUAGGCUUAAAAAAAAGUCUCAACAAAAGGGACAUUUGAGACAAGCUGGCUUAUGCUGUUCUUAUACUUAACUCAAGAGGAUCGUGAUAGAAGUUUACAAAGAAUUCCAUAACCUUGAAUUUCGUAACUUUCUGUACUCAGUAUACAGUAAAAGAUGUACAAUGUGCGAUUCCAACGCAAUGAAGCCAAUUACAAAUGAAAAAAAUUAUAUCAAAAACUUCAUCUCGCAUUCGUCUGAACUUUUGAGGUGCUCCAAAAAUUUUGCACUUCUGGGCCAUAACGGUCAAAAUCAUCAAAUUUACGGGUCAAGAUUAGAUGCUCAAUUUUCUGUAUUUUUACCAAAAUUCUGUGGUCUAAUGGAAGAUUUCUACAAAAGACUCAAAGUGUGCAGAUGGGGCAGAAAUUACUUGUUGAAGCAGUGAGAAAGAAAGCCUGAUGACUGCUAUCUCCCUUUUUUCCUUUUUGGGUACUACUGAUGACUACUAUCUUCGUGUAGCAAAAGAAAAUUUCAGCCUUGGUACAGCGAACUUCCGUUGGUUUCAUAUAGGCGUAUUAGAGCUUUUUUCAGAUUAAGCUACUUGGCUAGCUUUCUAGCUUUCUCAACAGCUUCAACAUAAUAAUACAAUCUCCAAAGUGUUACAUUACUCUGCAAGUAAAAGAUACAACUUUAGAAACGAGUUGAAAUUCUAAUUAGUUCACAAACCAGGUAAUUUUGCAUCUUCUUACCUGUUUUUCAAGAUCCACAUGAAUUUCAUCAGAGGAAUUUAUACAAGCUGCGUUCCUAUGUUGGAGCAUUUCUGCAACACAGUCAAGAUUUUUUGGUGGUAACUUCUGAAUCAAUUUUCCAAGCUUGUGUUUCUCAGGAAGGGUCAUAGGCCUGAAAAGUUCACAGUUACCAGAGAGAGAGAGAGAGAGAGAGAGAGAGAGAGAGAGAGAGGGAGCAAUGUAUGACCUAAGCAGGUCAAUAGUGCUUUGUUGAGAUCUACAUCAGAAAUUCAAAGCUGAAUUUUCACAGUUUUAACAAUUUAUCAAGAAACAUUAGAUCCUAUGAGGCCCAAUGUUUCCAAUGGAUAUGUAGAAUUGAAUGCUAUUGUGGCUGAGAAAUAUCAACUAUAGAGAGCAAAUUAUUAACAACUACCUGCACGAAGCCAUCACAGUAUCAAGAAGUUUUUCAAGCUGCUGUUCCAUGUGCCCUAGCUGAAAAACAGACAUAAAUUCAGUUCAGAUAUAAAUCAUCGUAAUGUAUCAAACAUUGGAAAGAUAAACUUCAUAUUCCUGAUGAGAGUUAUGAUAUAACCAUAUAUUUGAGAAAAGGGAGUUUGAUCAGGCUUUUGCAGUACUGGCAAAGAAAAAAUUUCAGAGAAUUACUGUUGCAGAAAAUUCAUCAGAAUAUUUCUUCACUGUCUCCUCAACCUGCAAGCUAUCCUUCUCUAUAAGGAACUGCAAAUCAUCGUCAACCUGAAGAGUGGAAUUAUGAUAAACCCACCCAUAAGUAAGUUUCCAACAUCAUGCAUAAAUUGCUACACAACACACCCACCCACACACACACACAAAACCCUUGCCUAAACAUCCUACUUUCUCCUCCUUUCUUCAGUUAAACAAGUUUGCAAGUAUUACAGAGUAAGAAAAAAAAUAAAGACCCAGAAACAAAAAAAUCAGGGCGUGUUUGGAAGGGUGGGCAAGUGCAACCUUUUGGAUGUGACACAACCCCACAAAUAGAAGGGGAGUAAGGAGAAUGUUAGUCACCUUUGGCUCCUCCGGAACAGCUAUCAACCUAGCUGUUUCUGUUGUGAGGCCAUGAGCACAGUUCUAAACAACAUUAGAAAAGUUCAACCAUAAAUUUCUACACAAUAUGAACCAUUACAAAACCCAGUGACUGCAAAGCUUGGGUUAUGCAACACAAAAGAAAAGGCAAUUGGUAUUACAACUGCUUUGUCCUAUUGAAAAAUGUUAUAAGAAAAGAGAGAAGAAAAAAUCUUCUGCAUUAACUAAAACAUAAAAGAUCUUACUUCAGAGUAAACGCAACAAAAACAUAAAGCUUUAGAAAAAAAAAUAUAUAUUUGUGGGAGGUAUCACAUCUCCUAAGAAGUCUAAAUGUUAGACAAUUCUGAGCAUAAAAAAUAUAUGCAAAUCUGACAAAUUAAAGGAAAAUGGCCACCCUUAUCAAGCAUAUUCACAAAAAUUUCUCUUUUAACUACACAUUUUCAAUCCACUAAAAUAGAAAAGGGUUAGAUCAACAACAACGCGGAAAACCUGAAACUUGAUAAGAAUGACAAGGCAACAAAAUGAAAUAUAACCUCUUUGCUAGACUCGAGAUUGGUAGGAGUGGAAAGUGCAGGGAGACUGGUUGAAGAGAAAGAAGAAGAUCUCUUUGGUCUCUUAGAGUGAGCACUCCUUGCAUCAAUGUCAGGUAAUGUACCUUUAGAAGACGAUAGACAGUUUCUGCUCUUUAGCUGAGAUUUUAACCGGCUGAUAGCAACAACAGGUUCUAGCAUCUGCAUUUACACAUAUGGUUAUUACAAGUACAGAUUCUAAAUAAGCAUUUUUAUCUCACAGGCGUUGUUAAACACAGUCCUCAAAUGUGAACCCAUAUGGUAUCAAAUCAACAAUUGUUGAAUAUUUAUCAAGUAUCACAUCAUCCAUACGAAAUGUGAAUGCAACUAGUAGUUGUGUUCUAAAGAAAAAGAAUCUUCUAUCUCUUGUUAAAUGCACACAACACUUAGUACCGCUAAUGUGAAAGCAACAUUUUCAAUUACAUUACAGUAAAGUACCAGAACAUCAUACAACUAAAGGACGACUCAAUAUCAUGACAUAUUUAUUGAUUGUUUAAAAAGUAUCAAAGUACAACCAGAUUCAUUUUGUAUAAUUCAAAAUCAUGAAUGUAUAUAACCAUUCUUGACUUUGUUUGAAGCACCCAUUUAAAAACAAAAGGGGGAGUAGGCAUCAUCCCUACAUACCUCAUCAACUUCUGGUGAAAGAAAAUUCACACCCUGCCUGAGCAAUGAUUUCAAUCUUUCCUUUUUGAAAUCUGAAAGCCCAGUUCCUAUGCUGUUACCAAAUAAAGAACCAGAAGUACCAUAACUGUGCUCAAUAACAUCCUUCCCUCUAACAUCCCCACUUCUUCUUUGAGAUAGAUCAGAGGAUUGGGAAGCAAAAGGUGGAAAAUCUUCUUCUUGUGAUAACAACUCUGUAACUAAACGUGUAUAGUAACCAAAGAAGUCUGGUCCUAUUUUAUCAUGUUCACUCGAACCAACAAGAUCCUUCGUAGCUUCUGACAUAACAACAAAAAUGCAGCUGCACCACAGAAGAAACAACAUUUAUACAACAUAUGAUACUAAAUUUUAUAAAUGGAAAAUAAUUAGAACAUUGGUCAGUCAAAGAGCAGCUAAUGAAACUUCUUCCUUUCAUAGCCAAAUGAAGAAAGUAUCUGAAACAAAACAUACUAAAAUUUCAAAAGACAAAUAUCAUGCCUUACCAGCUAUGCCAAAACAACACUUCUACUUGAGCAAAUUUUCUUAUCUGCCAGGUAACCAACAUGUGGCACCUUGCACCUUUCCGGGCAUUGACUUUCAGAUAUAAGGAUUCUCAAUCGAACACCUCAUAUCUGUGUGGAAAACUUGAUCAGCAUAUCUUGAAUAAAGUAAUAAUAACAAAACACAAACAACACCCAAAUGUGUCAAAUCAAUAUUUUUUAAUGAAAGAGACAAUAAGACUAUACUGCUGAAGAUGUAAGAAAUCUACUAACGAAUUAGGAGUUGGCUUAUUUUAUCAACCUAUAGAUACAUGUACUUGUGUAAUAUGUUCUUCAUUGGUUUAACACAUGAAAUUGCAAGUUCUUAGUUAUUACAAACUUAAUCUCUUUGUUUUGGUCUUGGAAGGAGACUAUCUAACGAAAGAGACAUAAAACAACUCCACGAACUAUCCCAAGCUUCCCAAAUUCACUAGAAAUAAGAUACGUUGAUACAUUUGAAGAAAUUUUUUGUUUCCCUGGAAUCCUACAGGCACCUCAAGAAGGCAAUUAGCAUGCAAACACAUAAACCCUAAACGCUAUCUAGAAGAAGAGAGGCGAUUUAGCAUGCACUCAUUUAUAAAAUACAAACACAUAAACCCUAAACCCAAUGUAUAAGAAGUACGGUGAUUUAGGACGCAAUCUUGAUAACACUAACACAUGAACAAUAAACCAAAUCUACACGAAGUAUGUGAUUACGUAGUUCAGAGCGCAAGAGAGGUUAAAAAUCAGAGAUUCGAUUUAGCAUUAUCUCCAUAAACCCUAGCGCUCCGUUUGGUUUCUCGGAAAAUUUAGCAAAAGAAACUAAGACAACUAUAGUCAUUGGAGAUGAAAUUUCCAACAUUUUAAACCGCCUUCAAAACUGAGCCAAUCAAAAGGACGACGUUCAAAUUUUUAGUUUAUUUUCCAUCUUUUCUGUCGUUUUGUUUCUUGGCUUUCAGGCAAACCAAACAGAGCCUGAAGCUAAGAAAGCAUAAUCAAAAAAAUGUUACAGAGCGGGAGAGAGAGAAAGAUGGAGAGGGAGCGGGAGAGGGAGCGGGAGAUUACGUACAUGAUCGGCGCGUUGGCAGAGCCGAUAACCAGAGAGAAUUGGAUGAGAAUUUUUGAGAGCGAACGACGUCGUCGAACGGAAGCCCAGCGUGAACCGGACCGCCUUUUAGAUUUCCAACUUUAAGCCGUGUAAAAAAAUCAUCCGAAACUAAAAACUCUGCCUCUAAACUUUAAUGAUUACUUUCGAAAAAAAUAAAAACUCUAAUGAUUGCUUUCUACGUUACAACGUGUCAAUAAAUUGGAUCAAAAUUGAAAUAAAUCAAGUAUAAAUGGCCUUGUUGCCACGACAUAAACACAAAAAUAAGUGGGAAAUUUUGAAAAAGGCUGAAGGAAAGAUAAAUUUUUUAAAAGAAGUCAAAAUAGACAAAAUUGCCCUUAUUUAUUUUUGGAUUUCUUAAGGAAUCCUUUACAUUUGCAUGUCUUUUGUUUGAAAGUUGAGAGGCUUUUCAGUCUUUUUAAAAAAGUUUUAACUUUUUACAAAAGUGAAAGUUUUUGUGGUUAAAACCUAAAUUUACUAAAAUAAAUUAGAUCAAAAUUUUAAAAAAUUAAGUAGAAAUUAUAUUUUUCAAUCACAUAUGCUGGCUUGAAAAUUUAUUUUUCAUUCUUUUAAAUUAAAUAUAAGGAAUAUUCGAUAAUAAAAAAUCAAAUAUAAGGAAUUAGGCAAAUUCAAUUAAAAAGAAAAACUAAUUGAUUAUGAACAGAAACAUGUUACUAAUACUAGUGUAUCUUAUGAAGGAAUAUUAUAAUGUUGCAUGAUGAUAUAUCUUUUAUAAUACACUCUAUUCAGGUAUAAGGAACUAAGACUAGUGUACCUUUUUUUUAAUUUUAGAAAUUAUGGAAUUGUAUUCAUAAUUCAAUCAAAAAAUCACCAGCGUUAAUACAAACUAAUUACAAAGAGUCAUUACAAUAACGGAGCGAUCUAAUAUCAAAAUUAAGAGAAUUUGAGGAGAAAACUAGUAUAUCUAAUUUCUAACAUGAAAACAUUGAAAAUGUAUGUUUUGAUUUUAGAAAGAGUUUAGAGUUUAGUAGUUCACAUUAGAACAAAAUUUACAAUCAACACACUAUUCGAACUCAAACGUAACUCUAGUUUGGGUCCUUACAUUAGAGGCAAAACCCCAUAUAAGAAUAGGCCAAGCCCUGUAGACAAACAAGCAUUCUUCACAGGUGAAGUCGUUUUUCUUUAUUUUUUCUUUUGGUCCGACCUUCAUAGGGGAAGUCAAUUCACCACAGCCCUGUACAGCUACGAAGGCUUCAAUGGCUUCAACGAUCCAAAGGGUCCUUAGAAGAUCACAACCCACAAGAAUAAUCGAUGCUUUACACAACCCUGCAGCGUCAAAUCUUAUUCUUCACCAACCUCAUAUCGACCAAACCAAUCCCGACCCACAUCAAUUCCUAAAUCUAAGUCCAUUGCUGAUUGUACCUAAAACACAGAACUUUGGCUCCUCUGGUUUCUCACAUAUUUUCCCAAGCUUUCCAUUUGGGAUUUGUUUGAACCCGAUUUCAUCAUCUGGGUUGGUCUCAUCCGAGGCAGUAGAAGUGGAGUUUGAUGACUCGCGGAAGGUCUGGGCCGAUAGCGUGAAGAAGAAGAGGAAGAGGAAGAUGAACAAGCACAAGUACAGGAAGCUGAGGAAGCGUCUCCAGAGACAGACUUAGUCUCUUUGUUAGGUGAGAUUUGAUGAUGGGACAUUGUGCCGGGCUUUCUAAUUUGCUUAAUGUGCUAUUGGAUUUUGCAAGAUAAAAGCUUUUCCUAUACUUAAUGCGUUUUUUGACAGAUAUAAUGAAAGAUAUUGUUCAGAGCUUAAACAUGGUUACUCAUUGUUGUUACAUAAGUUUGGUUGCUGUUUAGCUGAUUUGGAUUGUAUUGGUAUUUGUUGCUCGUCGAAUACUAAGCAUGUAAUUCGAGUUUUGAUGCUUUUAUUGACUUAGCUUAUUUAAAUAGAUUCAUGUAUGCAUGCCGACACAUUCUGAUGUUACCAACCUAGGAAUUUAGAAUGGAUGUGGGUAGAAAUUCAUUACUAUGGUUAUGGAUGAGAGCUAAAUGUUUAUGAGCAAAAGGCCUAUGCUUUUGCAAUUCCAGAUUGCUCAUGUCUACAACUGAUAUCAAAGGAUGCUUGCAACUUGCAAGAGACCGUGAGUUUGAGUUCAAAUGGUGAACUGUUGAUGCAAGUUUUUACCUUUUUGUUUCUUUUGACGAUUGAUGGUGGUACCUUAAUUCUUGUGCAAGAUCAAGAAUGAAAGAUUAGUGCCUAGAUGUUGCCUGCCUUAUAGUUUAGCAUGGUUUUAGAAAUCAUUGACUCUGUUGGAAAACUCGAAUUUGGUCGAAUUCCUAUUCGUGUUUGUCUUGAAUAGAUGCAGCUUAGCUUACCAAUUCUAGUGUCAAACACCAUGUUUAGACAGUACAGCAAUAUAAAUGAAGAAAAAUGUUCCUGUACAAUAACAGAACUUGUAUCUUAACUUUUCUGUCUCAUUUCCUUGGUUUUACAAAUGAUCUGAGGUUCAGUUGUCCAUCUUCUGCUUUGUGUGUGAACCAAUUGAAAGAGAUUCUUAGAGGAGAGCUCUCUCUGUAUCUCCAUGAACAGACGUAUCUGAAAUAGCCAAGCUCUGCGUGUACUCAGUAUUACUAUUUCGUCUCAAUCGCAGCCGUUAGCUAUGGGCUUAAAUUCAAUCAACAGUUUUUUGCAAAAGCCCAAACCAAACCAUGCGAAAUGAUGAAAAGGGCUCAACCUAAAUCCAAAUCAAACCGACAAUCAAUUGGGUCCCAUUGGCUCGGAUUUUAGGCCCAAUUGGGCUUCAAACACAUGACCCAGAAACGUGGGAUCCAAACCUGUACACAAAGUUAAUUCCUUUUCAUUCAUUAAUAUGUGUAGUGUAGUUGAAGACGAUCCAAACCAAACCAAAAUGUAUCAUUCAAGAUUUCAAGUAAUGUGCCAAUGUGGGAAUGUGUUCAACUGCUGUGGUGCCCACUGUUCUGAAGAAAGGGGACAAUCCCCUUAUAUUAUUGACUCGCUCAGAGCAUUUACAGUAAUAGGGCGUAUAAUGAAAUGUAUGUUAAAUAUACAUUUUUUGUGAUUGGAAUCACCCAUAAUGAAGAGGUGUAAACGAGUGCAAAUUUGCAUCACCGCCAUGAUAUGCAAAUUUAAAUGCAUAUAUACAUCUUUUUUUUAUAUUUCUUGCAGGUGGGAUCUACAUGAGAAAAUGUGAGAAAAAAUAGUCAAAAGUGGGACCUAUAGCAAAAAAGGUGAAAGAAAUCAAUUAUACAUCUUCCCUAUUAGAGCAAAAAUCACAUUUACAACCUUUGACGGUAUAAAAGGAAUGUAAAAGUGGCUUUACACCCUCCCACUGUGGAUGCUCUCAUACUAAACCCCAGAAUUAUUGGGCCAUCCUACCAUAUAUCAUCUGAAAUUGGCAUUCAGAUUUAAAAAUUUGAGUCUUUCUGCCUUGUUUGGAGUAUGGUCCUUGUUUUUCUAUGUACGUAUAGUGCAUAAAAAUGACACUAUUCAAAAACAGAGUUCAUAUUAAGGAUGCUGAUUGAGCCAGGUUUUCAAGUUUUGAUCCCUUUAUACAUUGUACUAUUGUACUACUCUAUAAUUACUCGUUCUUUCAUUGUUUUAUAAAACAAGGAGGAGAAAUAUGGUAUUAUGUUCAGAGGCCAUUAACGGAAUCUCGGCUGCUUAAAAGAGACAUGUCUCAUCAACCCCAUCACCAUAACAGGGAGAAAGAUAUUUAAAGGGCAGUGAGCCCUACCACUAGGUUUUCAUUUUCCUCUGCUUGAUUUGAUGAUAUUAUCAUUAUGGAUCCCAAGACGACAUAAACAUACAGCUUUAUUCUGCCUUUGGCUUCAUUCUCUUCUGUGUCGAUCGUCUAUUUGAUUUCAUUGUAGUUAUAUUGGUCGUUCUUAAGUCAUUUUCCACCUACAAUUUUUAGUGUUUGUCUUGUUGACCCGAAGCUGGCUGAGCCCUGAAAUUUGGCCUUAAAGGUGUGGCUGCCUGGCUGGUUGUUAAACCAAGGAAAACAACGUUAUUAAUUUUUGACCAACUGACCCAUUCGGCACGUGAUGUGCAAACUUUCUUUUCAUCAGGAGGAGCUUAGGAGGAUCCCUAGCUACCUAGCUAGCUAUGAAGUGCUGGCAUUUUCAUUUUUUUUAUAUGCGACCUUAAAAGGAGCAACCUUUUUGUUUUCUGCAACUUUGUAAUAAAUAAAGAAAUCACAACAAAACCCAUACAUCAUCUUGCCGCAUUUUUAUUUACACUUGUGUUUAUGGAGAUGGGUAAAUACCAGUACUGGGAUCUGUGGAAUGGUGAGAGAGAAAGUUGAAUAUUUGUUUGGGCAUUCUGGGUGGGACAAAAGGGUUUUGGAUAUGAACUUACACCAUAUUGGAGAGCAAUUUUACAAAUUUCUGUUUACAUGAAGAUGGGCAAAUUGAAAUACCAGUACUGGGAUCUGUGGCAGGCAGGGCAUGAAAAAAUCAAACAAUCAUAUGACUUGUGUAUUGGUCACUUCAACUCAAUAUGAUUUAUAUCUGGUGUGGGUGUGGGUGUGAGUGUGACCUGUGAGGGGGAUGGGGGUGUAUUGUAAUUUGCAUGCCUUGUUGCUUUGCAUAGCUGAAGAGACCCUUUCACAAUUUUUGAAAUCUUUUUGGGUUUGCUGUAUCACCUAAAAAGGAAGAAAGGAAAAAAGUAAAAACACUAUUCUACUCAACUGUAUUUUUCAAUUCUUUCCUUCAUUUCUCUUCUAGUUUCUCAAGUCUAUCACCAAGAAAACUAACAUAAACUUAAUUAAAACCCAAAUUCAGGACACCAGAGUUAGUUAGCUACAUCAAAGGGUCCAUUUCAUAUAUGGUUAUCAUUAAAGAAUCUUGCAUGUUAUUAAGAGAGCCUGAUUAACUGAGAGCUAACUUUUUAUUUUUAUUUUUAUAGAGAACCUUGACGGAAUGAAGAAUGAGAGCUAACUUCUUUAGAGCACUGUUCGUCGACAUAAAUUUUGCAUCAUCCACCAUCCCCACCCAAACUCAUAAUGUGAUUCGGGCAGAGCAAAGUUGGACUUUCAUUCUGAUAUUUCCAAAUUAUCAAGCUCUCUUUUUAUGUAUUUUUAUUCUCUCUUAGCUGGGGAAAGCUACCUCUCCCUGGAAUCCUAAGCACUAUUGCGCCAACCUCAUGUGUGGACUUUGCUUUAGUUCUGAUUUUGGGCAUGUUAAUUGGUUUUCACAUUGGUUUAUCUUUUAUCAUCAACUUUAAUCAUUCGUUUUUUUUUUUUUUUUUUGGUUGAAUUGGCAGGAACGGCUCAUGGUGAAAAAUUGAAACGACAAGCAACUUUAUCCACAUGGGUGCAUGGGGGGUUAGUGGUUAGUGGUUUUGCAAACUGCACUUCUUCUUCUGUCAAUUUCCCCCGACCCUACAAAUGAUGCAUGCAAAGGAGGAGGAGGUCCCAUGGUCCAUCCCCUCUGUGUGACUCACUCUGACUGUGAGGCUUUCACCCUAUCAUCCCGAUAAAAACAUGUAAAUCACAAAGAUAAGGAUAAUACUGUUUUGCUAUCUCAAACUACUGUUUUGCUAUCUCAAACUAAGUAAACUGUGAAACACAGUGAAACCUCUCUCUCCUUGUUUUUUUUUUCUUUUUUUGCUUCUUUUCUGCUAACUAGACACAUUCUCUCUCUCUCUCUCUCUCUCUCUCUCUAGUUCUUUAUGCUCCAUCUCUCUCUCAACUGCACACGGAGACAUAUAUGAUAUACAUACAUUUGAAGUAUAUUUAUAAUAGCCACGGUGACAAGAACAACCUCCCUUCUCUCUGAUUGAGUCUCUCUUUUUCUUUUGCCGUAAAAGAAUAAAGUCUAAUCUUCUGGAGAAAAGGAAAAAGCAGCAAGGAAUGUCGAUCUGAGCUUAAUUCCCACAUAAAAAUCCAAUCAAAAUUAAUAUUCUUUUUCCCCAUUACAGUGAGAGAGAGAGAGAGAGAGAGAGAGAGAGAGAGAGAGAGAGAGAGAGAGAGUCAGACUGCAAUUCAGAGAGAGAGUGAUGGGUGGGGUGACCUCGUCCAUGGCGGCCAAGUUCGCCUUUUUCCCACCGAACCCACCAUCCUACAAGCUCAUCACAGACGACCACACUGGUCUCUUGCUUCUCAGCCCAUUCCCCCACCGAGAAAACGUCGAGGUUCUCAAAUUGCCGACUCGGCGUGGCACUGAGAUAGUGGCCAUCUACAUUCGCCACCCCUUGGCCACUUCUACUCUGCUUUACUCUCAUGGCAACGCCGCCGAUCUGGGCCAGAUGUACGAGCUGUUCAUCGAAUUGAGCAUCCACUUGCGCGUCAAUCUCAUGGGGUACUCUGUUUUGCUACUUCUACUACUCUCUCUCUCUUCCAAGUUUACCUCUUUCUUUGAUACUUUCUCCUAUUUUCUCUGCCACUUUUGGAAUAUUGGCUUCCAGAUUUCGAGCUUUUUGCUCUUUGUUCUCACUUACUUGUCAGUGUUGGCAUCUGGGUUUUUCUAAAUUCGGAGCUUUUUGUUCGUUUUUGUCACUCGCUUACUAUUCUUGGCAUCUGGGCUGGGUUUUAUUAGUCCAGUGUUCAGCUGUACUUUGCUGGUAUUUUAUGGUAAUUUGAAUGUUUCUUCGUAUUGAUUUGCUAUACAGUGGAUGUAUUGUAAGUGGUGAGCUGGAAUUAUGGUAAAAUAGCUUGAAAGGCAUUUUGGAGUAGUUUUCUUGAGACUUCUAGUAGAAUCCUUCUAAAAUAAAGGUUUGAUUUUUAGUUAUGGAUAAAGUGCGAUGUAGCUGGGGUUUUUAUGCUUAGAUAUACCGGUUAAUUUCAUGAAAUCGAAAUUAGUUAUGAUGCUGUGGUUCGGUCCACUGAUCUACCAUUUCUGUGAUGUAUUGAUUGAAUUAUCCAGCCCCUUUGCGUGCUUAGAGUGAACAGUCCAGUUUGAGAUGGUAGUGUAACUGCUAGCACCUUUCAUGCUGUGAGGAUUGCUGUUUGGUGUGGCUUUGUCCCUGAAGUGCAUAAUUGAUUGUGUAGUCUUCACGCUGCAUGAUGCCUUUCCAUGCCAGUGUCUAAUACCAGCAAUCACCACAUCCAUAGUUCCAGCUUUCUUCUAAAUUUUGUUUUUGACAAGUUAUGCCAUCCUUGAUUUUUAGAAAUAAAUUCUCCAUUACAUGAUUUAUCAUUUAUCUGUUAUUUGUCAUUACAAUUAAGAGUAUUCGCAUUGUUACAAUUACAAGUCUAAGUAAUAAAAUAGAAUGGUGGUAAGAUCCUUAUAUAUAUCUGCAAUGUUUUGCAGGUAUGAUUAUUCAGGGUAUGGGCAAUCAUCUGGAAAGGUCUGUUAUUUGAACAGUUAUCUUUUUGUAUUAACUAGUUGUUGAGCACAAUGCAUCGUGUAAGGCCGUAUUUUCUCUGUUCCAGGCAAGUGAGCAGAAUACAUAUGCAGAUAUUGAAGCUGCAUAUAAGUGUCUUGAAGAAAGCUAUGGUACUAAGCAGGAAGAUAUCAUUCUCUAUGGCCAAUCUGUUGGAAGUGGCCCCACAUUGGAUCUUGCUGCUCGGCUGCCUCAGUUAAGAGCUGUUGUCCUGCAUAGUCCCAUACUAUCUGGUUUAAGGGUCAUGUAUCCUGUAAAGCGUACAUACUGGUUUGACAUUUAUAAGGUAAGACAACUCCUUUCAUUUUGGUUAUCCCAUCUUAUGGUUGGUUGGCGAGUUUAUGACCUUGAUCUAAUUGUAUGCUUUAUGGUGUCAUUUGUGCGCAGAAUAUUGAUAAAAUUCCACUGGUCAAUUGUCCUGUUCUCAUCAUUCAUGUAAGUAUGCUACUCCAGAUUUUUCUACUUUGUAAUUUUCUUAUAUGAUUAAUGUAUGCCAAUAUGGGGUUUAUAGAUGUAUGAGGCAUGAAAGACUGGCAUAAGAAUGACUUUUUUUUGUUUUGCUUCUUUUGCAUGCUUUGUAAGUUCCAUACCAUAUAGGGUUUAGAUUAUCUAUUCUUUGGAUGGUCAAAUACAUGGCCAAUUUUAAUCCAGCUGGAUAAUUUAUUCUUCUGAUUUGCUUUAGGUCUCUAUAGGUUGACAUGAUGAGAUGAAAUUUUACUGAUUAUUGGGAGAGUAAUUUGUUUGCAUGCCGGAUAACAAAUUGUCAACAGUUUUUUGUUGAUGCAUCGGAUCGGAGAAAAACCCUGCAGUUCUUAACAGUUUAUUUCCUAGGCUACAAAUUUCUUAGCUCAAUAAUGGAAUUUUACGAAAGAGAGUAUUGCUGCUGUUGAAUAAGGGAUUUCUUUGAUCCUCACGCAUCUGGAAUGCCACGUUGAAGGGUUUUCUAGGGUGAGAUGGCAAUUGUCCUUGUUUAAUUCAUAAAUCUUCACAUUUGUUCGUCAUUAUAUCUUUUUGUAGGGAACUGCGGACGAAGUAGUUGAUUGCUCUCAUGGGAAGCAACUGUGGGAACUAUGUAAAGAGAAGUAUGAACCACUAUGGCUUAAAGGAGGGAACCACUGUGAUUUAGAGCUGUAUCCUGAGUAUAUCAGGCAUCUCAAGAAGUUCAUAUCAACUGUUGAGAAGUCUCCUUCCCAAAGGUACAAUUCUAGGAGAAGCACAGACCAAUUUGAGCAGCCUCGGAAGAGUACUGAUGUUUAUGAAGUUUCAAGGAAGAGCACAGAUCGAAGAGAGAAACCAAGGAAGAGCACUGAUAGGCCUGAAAAGCUGAAAAAUCAAUUCAUUAGUGCUGAUAAACUAGAAAAAUUAAGAGUAUCUUUUGAUCAUAUGGAAAGGUCUCGGAGAAGCGUGGACUGCCAUGAAAAGUCCAGAAAAAGUAUUGACCACCAACUGGACAGAGCACGGAAGAGUGUUGAUCGGUUGGAUAGAAUACGAACUGGGUAAACGUUGUUAUAAAACCAUAUGCAAAAUUCAAAGCCUGGGUUUGGUGUUGUGGGAAAAUUAUUUGGGUCUUUCUUUCUUCUAAUUUAUGGUAUUCUUGCUGUGUAAUUUGUAUUUGUGGCAGUUGUAUAACUACUAUUGCAUGAAAUGAAAAAGGGUUUGGGUUUAUUAUGGUUUUCUUCUUUCUUGUGAAUGCAAUCCAUUCUCUUAGGUUCUCACCAGAAGGGAACAGAACUAGAAAAGAGUGGAAAGUGAAAACCUUACUCAAUUGUAAUGUAUUGACAUAAACUAUACCUACGAACAAACUACAAAUUGAAAAAGGCAUUGGCAUAAACGUCGCAGAUGACAAACUACGCUCCAAACUGUGAUGAUAUCUUCUAUUCUCCUUAGGCCAGGAGUUGAUGCCAUUGACAUUGAGUAGCGAUCGGAAUUAUCAUUGUGCUCUCUACUAACUUUUUUGGAGUGCUGAGUACAUGGUAACUUUAUUGGAAUACCAAUAACAAAGGUCCGACUCUCUUUUUUUUAGCACCGUUAUUUUUUGGAAUACCAAUAACAAAGGCCCGACUGUCUUUUUUUUUAAUCACAAACGGUGCUAGCCAAUUUUACAUCACAUCUCCACUAGGCUCUACAAACGUGAUGGCUGAUAAACUCAGGGAGGAUGCAAACUAGUUUGGAUUUGGAAAAGACAAUUGACUAUUUGGAGCAAUUUCCAAUGUUUAAUCCUUUACCGUGCGUUUGGAUGAGGAAAUUUAAAAGUACAAAGGAUUUCAUAAAUGACGAAAAUUAGUGUUAUAGAAUUUGUAAAUUUUCUUGUUUAGAUGACUGAUUUAAAACACGGAAUUUAACCUUUAUUUGUUAAAUCAUCUUUUUUUAAAACUCAAUCUCUCUUGGAAUUUUAGAAAUGACGACUUUUAGAUAGAAUUUAAACUUGGGAUUUAUGAUAUCCAAAUUCUAUGUUUUUUUCCAAGCAGAAUUUCUAAAUUUCUAUGUUUUUUUAUCCAAACACCGGAAUGGGUUCAUGUCAAUUUAGAAAUACUGAGUUUUGUCAAAAUCCCAAGUUUAUUUCCCUCAUCCAAACGCACCAUAGGUUGUAAACUCGGUCCAGGCCCGCCAAUCAGCUGGACUGGAACUCAAAGUCCUCUCAUUGCGUUUUCAACUCCAUCAGCUUUCAAUCAAUAUUUCAAUCUCUCAUUCUCAAAUUGUGACACCAGAAAUGGUUCAUUCUAGUUCUUUAUUGUAUUACUCGUAUAUUCCCUAAAGCAGUUUACAACUUGGUGUUGAUUACACAUUCUGCGUGAAACAUGAGUACAAUUUGAUUACACAUUCUAAUUUCAUUGCUGUCAGUGAAAAUAGCUUCUGAGCAGGUUAUGUAUUUUGUUCCUGCAACCAUCUAUUGUUGCAAAGUGCUGACUUCUGUGUGAACCAACAUUCCAAGUUUCACCUAGUCCUCGCUUUCGUGCAAACGAGCUUAAUUGAAUAAACUGCCAUUUAUCAGAGAGAGCCAGCUAGAGUUCAGGUUUGCGCUCAGAGUGCUCAACUAUGGCUGAGGGAGGAAGGGAGCCAAUGCAGAUCUCAUGAACUGUUGCAAACAGUGGGAAAAACUCUAGCCACCCACGGUGGCUUAGAACUUCAUAAACCUCUUUUGCUGUUGACACACCCUUCAGAAAAGGAAAAAUAACUGUUAAAUAAUGAGAGUUAUAUAAACAGAUAGCUUCAGGCUGCAUCUGCAAAAGAUCAAGCUAUAGAUAUGUUUGUGGACUCAAAAUACAAAUCCUCUUAAGUUUCUUCCAGAUACUAUUAACAAGUUAGAAAUAACAAAGAUAUGUUUGAAAACCAUCACAACUUCUUGUGCAUAUGUAAUCAAUGUACAAAUCUGAGUAAUAACACAUUUCAGUUAUCUGUUUAUAAUGUUUAAUAUAAACCUGUAAUUUUUGACCCUGCAGCAUUUCUGCUUCGAGCUCAUCAAACGAUCUGCAGACAACAAACAUAAGGGUGAUAGUUAAAUACUUUUUACUUUUACAAGGUUUAUCUGCUGGAGCUUUAAAGCUUUUACCUUUUCCCUCCACUCCUUGCAAAAGCUUCAGCAACUUUCCUGUUUCUUCCACCCACUGCCAUACACACUGAGGUCAGAAACUUAAGAAAGAAAAAUAAAAUAAAUAGAAGGAAGAAAUCCUCCUGCUUCCUUACAGCAUGUUGUGAUGAGAUCAGCAACACCACAACUUUCAAAGAAGGUGCUGUCCUUGACAGAUGAAAACAACAUCUUGGAAAAUGCCUUCAUCUCUCUUAGACCAAUUCUCAUAAUUGCAGCCUGGUCAUUCAAAAUAACCAGUCAAAAUGAAAUAGAAAAGGCAGAUGAGACAUGGGUUCAAACUAGACAGAAAUGUUUGAACUUACCUUUGUGUUAUUUCCCAUCUCCAAUCCAUCCACAAAACCUGUUCCAUUAGUAAUUAAACCCUCUAUUAAUUGCUCAUUCAAACUUGAGAAGGGAAAGAUACAUUAGUACUACAAACCUGCUGCUAUGGCCACAACAUUUUUCAGGGUCCCACACAGUUCUACUCCUUCCACGUCUUGGACCUAUAAAUUUCAUACGACCCAAAAAGUGUGAACGGAGCAAACCUUCAAUAUUUAGUCGAUAUAAAUCACAAAAUCCAAUUUUAUGAUGCAUCAAAAGCUUUCAGUGCUUACAUGCUAUCAAAUGGUUACUACAUUGAGUGGAUGUUAAAGUAGUUCCCGCCCAUGCCAAGAUUCAUGAUAGUAAGAGUACUUUAUUAUGACAUUGAUUUGUAACAAUGUAUUUGAUGUACUCACAGGUGUGACUAUGAAGUAGGGAGUACUAAACAAAUGAACCCAUUUCUCUGCAAUCGCUCUGUUUUCUCUGUAUCCAACUGUGGCUUCACUAAAUUUCUCCAAAGCAAUCUACACAAACAGUCUCUAAUUUCAGAUAAACUAGAUUUGAUGAUCUGGCACAAGAAAGCUCUAAAAUAGAUUGAAAAGUCGGGCCAAAUUACCUCAUUAGCUAUGUUUGCUCCCAUUAGAACACAACAAUUAAUGCCCAAUUGCUCCGAGAUGAGUGUAGAGAUCAUGCACGGGCCCUCCAUCUUGACCUCCAUUCCUUUGAUGAGGGAAAUAGCUUCCACAUCCCCUUUUAUCUUCCCAACAAGUCUCUUGCAUAUACCCUCCAUAAAUUGAUGUGGAGUAACAAACACCAACAUGUUUGCACCAUUCACUGCAAAACUCCCCCACUUGAAUUACAAAAAUUUGCUCCAAGUACCCAACAAAUUACACAAGUUUAGAAACAUCGAAAUUGAGUACCUGCAUUGUCAAGGUCUGGGUCUGCAACAACAUUUUUCCCCAGCUUUAUGCCGGGCAGAUAUUUCACAUUUUCCUAUUGAAGAAAAUGGAUAGGAAGAUUAAAUGGGAAGAAUUAGUUCAUCACAUAUAAGAGGAGAGGAAUGAAUGAAUGUAUGAAAGGUCAUUGAUUUUUACAUUGUUUCUGUUGAUGGCAUCUGUGAGCUUCUCACCACUCGGUAACGUUUCCUCAAAUACCCACAUUCUCACUUCAUCUGAAUUUCAUUGGAGAAAAAACAAAACUCGAAUUGAAAAUGGAAGUAAAUCAACUGAACAUGUAUUGGAAUAUCAGAAUUUUCAUUCAUUGAACAGCCAAGACCACAAAAGCCCAGAAUCAAACAGGGAAAUGCAAUUAACUUGACAUUCUUUAAGAAAUCAGACCCUGUUCCAAAAUCAGGCUCUAUUCAGUUUCUCAACAGCAACCAAAUCCAAAAAGUAGAAUUCAAGAAUAGUGGAUAAACCAAAAUUCUGACUGGUGGCAUAAAUAAAAAUCCAGACUUGCAUUGCAUUGCAUUGCAUGCAAAAAAGAAAAUGGAAAUGUCGAAAACAAAUAAUACAUAAAAGAUAUACCAUGGAAAGAAGAGAGCCUGAGGGUGUUAGAGGCAAUGAGUUUGGCAGCCACACUGCCCCAGUUGCCACUACCCACAACGGUGACUUUGGUUUUGUGUAGAGCUUCAUGGUCUCUAGUGUAAGUGUUGUUAUUUUGGGGCAGAGUUUCUCCGUCUUGUUGAAGUUCUGGAGCCAUGGAUGAAGAGAGAGAACGAGAGGGAGAUGGAGAGAAUACGGAAGAAAGAAGCAAAGGGUAAAUGGGUAAUGCGUGGAAGAGAGGAUUAGGAGCGAGAGAGGAGGGCAGGAGAGAAUAUAAGAGAGAAGACACUCGUCGGGGCGGAGAUGCCAUACACGUUUCGUCACAAACGAUGUGUUUCCAGUUAAAUCUGGCGAUCUCCUCUAUGAUUGACACUUUGACAAUAUAUAUUUAUGUAUGUUUUAUCUCUCAUGCGCAAAUAAAUUUAAAAAAAAAAACUCAUAUAAAUAUUGAUUUUACUUUGAUAUUUUAGUUACGUAAUUCUAGCUAAAUUCUGUAUUUUUAAAUAUAUAUAUAUAUAAAACAAAAGGAAUAGAAUGGUGAAACAUUUAAAAUACCAGAAAAUAUCAUUGGUUAAUUCAAAUAUUAAUAAUUGAAAUUAUUAAUUAAAUGAGGAUAAUAUUGUAAAUUUAUAUUUUUAUAUUAUAAACAAAUAAUAGGUCCUACUUUUAUGGAACAUAACUACCCAUGUUAUCUUUUCUUAAUUUUAAAAAUAAAAUUUAUAAAAAAUAAAAAACCAUCUACUAACUACUUUUAUUAAUUUAUUUAAUUUCAUCUAGACUUAAUAAAGACAAUGUUAAUACUUUAUGAUAAGAAUAUAUGGUUAUAUUGGUGUCAUUGGUCAAUGUAGUGGAGUGGACCCAUUUGAUUUUGGUAUCAAUACCAUCUACUAACAACUAAAAGGUUUAAUAAAUGAAAAUUUCCAAAGGGAAUAAGAUGGAGUGAACGGUAGAUUUUAGGUUCCAGUCUUCUUGUAGACACAUAUAAAAUGAUAUAUUAUUAUGUUGGCAAGAGAUUUGUAGUUAAAGUGAUUAAAAGUUUCAUUUAUCCUUGUAUCGAUUCGUAUUAUUUAUAUUAAAAAUAAUAUCGUAUUCAAUAAUAUUUAUAUAUUUAUGAGUAAUUAGUUGGAGGGUAAGCUUAAGUUACAUCGUUGACAUGUACAUGUAUAAAUGAUAGUAGUAGUAGGCUAGUGGGCGUAGGUAUAGUUGAGUUAGUCAUUCUAUAGCGAGACGUCAUCUAAGCUAAGAUCCUUAAAUGAGGUUAUAUCUCUUAAUCGUUAGAUCAAAUUGACCAGUUUGAUAUGAUAAGAUCGAAAAAACUAACAAAUUUGAUCGAACAGUUAAAAUAUAUUCCCUUGUCUAAGGGCCUCACUAUAGAAUUCUUGAUAGUUAGAGUUAUGAAGGGGAUAAAUGUGGUGGGCAGGAUUUUGAAUUUAUAGGGUAACAGCCGUCCUAUAUAUUUCUCUUUGUCUGGUUGUUUGGGCUAAUAACCAGAGGUUGUGCCGAUGAGACCACCAUGGAGAUGGAGCAUGGAGGUGGAGAUAUGGAGGCCCAUAAUCUAUUACUUAAUCCCCACCUAAUCAAACCCAUUACAAAUCCCUAAAUAAAUAAAUUUGCAACAGAAAAACAAGUUAAUUAAGGUCCUUGUUUUCUUUCUAAUAAUAGAUGAUAGAUAAUAGAAGAAGCAUGCGCUAACACCGGAGGGCCAAGAAAACCCAUCUCUGCUCUCUCCUCAACCCAUCCUACCAAACUACAUAUAUCCCUACUCUCCCUCCCACCACCCACGUCCACCUGCUUCUAACUUGACUGCCUACACUUUGAUAAGAGCUGCAAAUUAAACAGUGCAAGAAGCAAAGAUGGCACGCCAAGUGAUUGUCCUUGCGCUCAUCUUUGUUGCCAUUUCCGGGGUUUUAGCACAAGAACCAACCUCCCCUUCAGGACCCUCACCGGCCAAUGCACCAGCCUUGUCGCCUGACGCUGCCACAUCAUCAUCAUCAUCAGCUCCUUCUCCCGGCGCCUCUGAUGCUGCCGCUGCCACCCCUGCCUCAGCCCCAACCCCUGUUAGCGAUAUAUCUUCGCCACCUGCUCCUUCCCCUGCAGGCGGCGACACCGAGGAAGCUGCCCCCGGAAGCCAGGCCACCGAAGCUGAUGAGGCAGCUGCCCCAGAAGGCAUUGUCACAGCUGAGGGACCAGUGGACCCUUCAUCAGCUGAGGAAGAUUAUCCCGUCGAUGAUUUCUCUAGGCUCAUCAAGAACUGAGGAGUUUACCUCUAAUUAAUUUAUUCAUUCAUCAAGCCUAAUUUUGUUUAUAUUUAAUUUAAUAGAGUUCCCAUGCAUAGAUUUAUUUAUUAAUGGUACCUCUCUUUGACCACAAAAUAAUAAUAUAUCGAAGAUGAUCUAUGGGGGCAACCUUGCUAUGCUAUACUAUACAUAUGUUAUAUUCUUCUUCACAUGGAAUUUAUCUUCAUUAUUUUAUCACUACUAAUUUUAAGUUGAUUAUAUUACGAAUCCAAUAAUUAUUUGAAAUUGUUAAUUUGCAAUAGCUCUCUAGCUUUCUCUGCCAAAAUGGGAACGAAACUUGGCAGCUUAAAAUGUUCCAUACAUUCAUAUAUUGAUGUAAUUCAAGUGGCCAUUAAAAAUAUUUAUCUCUAUACACACGACGUCUUGUAUUCGAUUUCCCCUAUUUUAAAUUUCACAUAUGUAUAAAUAAUAAUAAAAACUUUGCCAUGUAAAAAGAACAAAGAAAAAAAAAAAGGCAAUAACCCAUCCAAAAAAGCAUGCUUAACAGAUAUUCGAACUUUGGGUAUUUUUCAAUAUUGAAACCACUAAACUAAUCAAUUAUCUAUCAUACUGGAGAAUCAUGUCAUGCUUAAUAAAAAUGUGAUAUGCAAAUGUAGCUGUCCACUUCAUCUGACAUGAUUCUCAUGAAAUGUUGUGGUUGUCCACUUCAUUUGUCACAUAAUGAGAAUGUGGUAAGAGUAGCAUUUCUCAUAAUGUUUUGAAUUUCUUCCUCUACCUUAACGAACGAAAAAGAGAAAAGGAUAUUUGAAUUUCAGAAAUAUUACUGUGUGUAAUCAUGUAUUUGGAUUGUGAUUGACCACUCAUAGCACACUGGUUUUAAAACAAAAAAUCUCACGCCCCUCGCCAUUAAUUAGUAUGCUACUAAUUCAGUUACUGGACGCACGCACCCAAAAGCAACAUCCAGGACAUGCAUGAUAUAUAAGUGAAAUUAGUCUGCCUAUACGGAAACCAGAUCUUCAAUACCAAAUUACCACCAGACACAGCAUAAAUACUUGAUGUUUUGGUUUCCGGAUGAAGCAGGGACAUUUUGGUAUCUUCUCAAAGAAAGUUUCAAAGUGUUGUGCUGCUGCACCAUCAUCCCAAUCCGCAAGAACCAAAAACGGAAGGCCCUUGCUUUUCUUUUCUUUCUAAUAAUAGAGGUACUACUUCUAAUAAAAGCAUUUUUCCCGAAAUCCUUGUUCUGCGACAAACACCACACAAUUUUCCUACUCUAUCUCCCCCCCCACUCAUUCACCUCCCCAAGCCUUUAUAAAUCUCCAUUCCUUCACCACCUUCUUCCACACCCACACUCCUCUUGCUUCCGCCUUUUCCUUAUAUCUAACACUAAACCUACCUAUAAAAAAAAACAUCACAAAACAAACACAAGAUGGCAAAUCAAGUGAUCGUCCUUACUCUCAUCUUUGUUGCCAUUAUUUCUGGGGUUGCUGCAAAGGCCAAUGCGCCAUCAGCCAAAUCUAAGUCGCCAUCAUCAUCACCAGCCAAAGGUCCAGCCUCCUCAAAUAAGGCUAAGUCCACAUCCUCCGCGCCAGCAUCAUCCCUCAAGUCUUCGGCUUCCUCCCCAUCUGCCUCACCUAAGACUGCACCAUCACCAUCACCCAAAGCCGCACCAGCCAGUUCAUCAACGUCCUCUGGCCCCAAGAAGCCCACCACUCCACCCCAAAAGGCUUCAGCCUCUCCCUCUGGUCCAUCCUCCGGCCCCAAGAAGCCCGCCAAGGCUCCUGCUGGCGCUAAAAGUCAUUAGAAUCAAAAUUCACAAUAAGAAAAAAGGAUAUCCUUGUGAUCACCGCGUGGUCCAUGAUCCUGAAUUUAGUAAAUCAGUAAUAGCCUUUAACAUUAUGGGGUCUGAUUGAAGACCAGGCUCUUCUAGUUAGUAGCAGCACCAAUAAACUACAUGGUCGUUUUGUUGACCUACCUCACACAUGGAAAAUACAAUAUGUUGAAGGAGCCAAAAAAAUUAUUAACGAAGUGUUGAAAAACUGUAGUGAUCAUUUUUAAUGAAAACAUCUUUGUAUUUUUCUGCUCGAAGCUGUCUUCUAAGAUCAUUGAGAUCAGGUUGCUUGCCCAUACAUCAUUGCUGAUUUGUUUAUUUGAAAUUGACUGGCUGAGUUCUUUUGCAAAUUAUUGAAGAGCAGGAUGGAUGAAAUCAGUUUCUGCAACAACAAAAAAUAGUCUAUGCACAUUCCAAUGGCCAUCAUGCCAGUUGAUUCUAGCUAAGUAUUAUCCAACCAAUAAAUAAUUCAUCAAAUUGAAGGUAAAACAAACGACAGAAAAUCUUAUUAUUUUGGAAUGUAAACACAAAAAACAACAGUAGUCAUUGGUGUACAAUUGGUAUGACAUCUGCAAAUGAAAGGUAUUCAUCUUAAAUAGAAAAUUGAGGAAAUUCCUCGAAUAAAAUGAACUUCUAAUCGAGAUAUAUUUUAUGCAACUAAUAAAAAAUCAGGGAAUGGCACUGUUUCUCUUCACAGGCCAGAGGCUCCCGCAAUGCCAAAUAAUAAAAACUUGAAGUGGCAGCUGGUUUGGUACCUAUAACCGUAACUUAUGGAGCUCUGUCAAAGGGCUGUGUAUCAUUGUAACAAACAUCCCAAACAGCUUCCAUGGCAUCCUUUGCAGCUGCUUCCGAGCAAUAAGGAUUAGCAAUGACUGAUUUCAUAACUCUUCGUCUCACACAAUCCUUCAAAUGUCAAAAUGGGAAUGCAAUGAACAUCAACUACCGUAUAUUUGUCCAAGGAAAAUAUGAAAGAGAGAAAAAAUCCAUCCCCAAUUUAUUUCAAUCAAUUGAAACCAUGAUUCGGAUUCAUUUAAAACGUCAUUUAAAAUUUGAAAGUGGGACAUUAUAUAUAAAAAAGGAAAAGAAAAAAGCAAAGACUCCAGAUCUGGUAUGAAACAAAACUUUGCAGUAUAUGAAAAAGGCCCUAUCCCCCUUUCCUAUACAACUGAAGCCUUUUGGCUUUCCUCUUUCCGUAUCAAAUUAAGGUAAGAGAGCAUCACACAUUGUAUGCGAAGAAUGUAGCCAGAAGAGUAUAUCUUAAGUUCUUAUGUAAAUAAAGCUGAAUAACUCACUUGUUCAUGACCUCGAAUCUUUACAAAACCCCUCAGCAAUUCCCGUUUAUAGUGGCAAUCACCGCUUAGAUGGCCAGCACGAAUCUGUUCCAGAAAAUCAAAGUGUGUAUGUUUAAAAAGUAAAAGAUUAAAUUGAGGUAUGGAGAAUUACACUACACCCGAUACAAGAAAAAUAUUCAGUUGCUAUAUAUUGUUGCACACCUCACUACAAGCAUGAUGUGCACAAUUAGCCCAGUUUAAGUUUGCAGCACGACAAUCGUCAAAAGCAUGAAUUAGCUCAUGUAUCACCACUUGGUUGACUUCAUCUUGAAUGUUCAUGUGAUUACCACAUACCAGUAUCUAGUACACAUGAAGACAUACAGAACAGAAAAAGAAAUUAGUUUCAUAACAAGCUCCUCCUGCAAAUAUUUACUAUGCGGAAAGAACAGACCAUUAAAAGAGCUUCACAAAUGACCUAUCAAUUGAUAUAUACUUGAAUGACCAGAAGACAUGCUACUCAAUCUAGCAAUUUAGAUACUUUCCAAGAUUUAAAAUUUUAAAGUUCAUUGUUCACUGCAACUAGUACUAUACAGAUUCUACUGCAUUUGCUAAAUUUCCAAUUACGAAAUGAAGUUUCUCACAUCUGUAAAAAUCAAAGCUUUCGCUUAAACAAAUAGGAAUUAAGAGAAAUCGUAAUUGUAUUGUUGUACCCCUUCACCGCGGGCAUAACCGCCAGCAAUCUGCUUGUCGCAAUGAACGGCCUUGAUGAACCUGUCCCCAAUCCCACAUCCGGCUUGCUCCAAAUGCUUCAACAGAAAUUUCACCAUUGGAACUGUUGCAGAAAAUGUGUUUGGUGUUAGAGAAUUAGGAAGAAAACAAACGAAAACCAAAGAGAAACCCCAGAUGCCGUGAACCUCUAAACCCUAAACCCUUAAUCCCAAUUAGAUUUUUAUGAAAAUGAGUUGUUAAAAACAGAAAAUAAAAAGGUGAAAAAGAAAGUAGAAGAGUACUCCGGAGGCUUCGUUGAAUCAUGUCUUGGCAUUCCUCCAGGGUUUUGCCGCCGUUGACGGCGGAGGAGAAGCUUGAGGAUCCGGGUUCCGGGGCGGGUUCAUCAGCCAUGGCUUUUUGAGCUUAAUAAAUCUCUGUGGCACUGGCAGAAGAGCACCAGCAGCUGAUUCUCGGGUCAAUAGCCGGUUCGGGUUUUUACAAAAGUUCUGAUCUCAUUUUUAAUAUAUAGCUUUUGGAUUUUAAUUGAAAAAAUACUUGGCAUUCGGCGGUUGGAUCCUGGGCUUAUAGGAUUUCCAUGGCAAGCUCUGUAGCUUCUUUUCAAUUGGCCCACGUUCUUUGGGCUGCAAGUUCACAAACAAGAGUCUUUUUUAUCUGUUUUUAUCGGUCAAUACGUGGUCAAUGCUCUCUUUACCUUUGUUGCUGCCAAAAAAUAAAAUAAACAUAUAUUUUUUCAUCUCUUUCAUUUUGGGAAAUUAUUUGGGCCCUUAAGUAGCCAUUUCUCUUUGCAGAUAAAUCAUACUUCAACACGACAUAUGUGCAUAAAUUUUUCUAUUUGUAAUUUUAAUGAGUUACUUUUAUAUAUGUGUAUUGGUAUGUAAAGAGGAAUAACUCUUAAUAACUUCUUACAUGUAAAGAGACAAGAAAUAUUCUUUUUUUGGAACGAAGAGUGUUGUCCACGAGGUCUAUAUCUACUCACUAAAAUAGAGGCUAUGGGCUAAAUUUGGAUUUUUUUUAUUUCGUAAUUAUUUGGCCUAUAAUUCAAGAUCAUAUAUGGUGGUAUAUGCUGAUGUAUUACCAACCUUUAGAAUUUACAUUGACACUAGACAUAGAUGGGAAUUACAAAAAGAGAGAAAGAAUAUGAUAAAGGAGGCUAACCCAAAUGAAUGGCAAGGGAAGGUCCUUGUUUUCUUUCGUUGUUUCUAAUAAUAGAUGUCCUAACAAAAGCCAUUGUAGUAAGUUAACGCAUGUGUGAUGGAGAAUGAAGAUCCAUGUCCUUCCUGCACCAAGAAACCCGCACACCAAGUGAUAAUCGAACCAUGACCCGCUAAGCCCGGCCAGCCAAUAAUCAAUAUUUUCUGGGCUCUCUCCUCUCUCAAAACCAACAGAAAAGACUAACACAGCUGUGUUUCCAUCCACAGAUUCCCUAGGCUAUCUCCCUUCCACGUUAAGUCCUACAAAUCUCAUUCCCUUCACCAUCUUAAUUAUGAUCCACAUCCAUUAAUUAUAGUUAAUCCGUGUGUGUUUUCUCUAUAUAUAUACAUUUAUAUUUAGACUUAACCAUUGCAAUUAACCACACAUUCAUCAUAAACCAAAAGUAGCCAAAACAAAACACAGAGCUAAGCUUAUAUAACCAUAACACAGAAGAAUAACAAGUGAGAAGUGAGGAGAAUAAGAAAGAAGAAGGAAAAUGGCACGUCGUGAAUUGGUAGUCCUUGCUUUGGUAUUAGUUGCCAUUGUGGGGGUUGCAGCCGCAGACUCAGGCAGCAGUCCUACACCUUCACCAUCUAAGAAAGACGACAAAGAUUCAGGAAGCAGCAGCGACGACGACAGCAGUUCAUCAUCGUCGUCGUCACCAUCCUCCUCUCCAUCAUCCUCCUCCUCCUCCACCACCACCACCGCCUCCUCAUCAUCAUCUGAUGCCCCGACCUCCUCAUCAUCAUCAUCAUCAGAUAACAAGGACAAGGACAAGAAGGAUAAAUCAUCAUCAGCCCCGACCUCAUCAGCAUCAGCCCCCAAGUCAUCAUCGUCAGCGUCAGAUAGUAAGGACAAGGACAAGUCAUCAUCGUCAGAUAGUAAGGACAAGGACAAGUCAUCAUCGUCAGAUAGUAAGGACAAGGACAAGGACAAGUCAUCAUCAUCACCAUCUCCCAGCAGCUCUUCGGGUGGCUCUUCUUCUUCAUCACCAUCGCCCAAGUCUUCCUCUUCUGGCAGCUCAUCAUCAUCUUCAGGUAACAAAGACAGCGGCAGCAGCUCAUCUUCACCAUCGCCUAAGUCCUCCUCAUCAGGCUCUUCGGGAUCUUCUGGGUCUUCGGGCUCUUCUGCCAGCUCACCCAAGUCAUCGUCUUCAGGUGACAAAGAUAGCGACAGCAGCAGCACCCCAGCUUCAUCUCCUAAGUCAUCAUCUUCAGGCAAUAAAGACAAAGACAGCAGCUCAUCUCCAUCUUCUGACGACGACACCUCCACGGCACCAGUCCCCAGUGACUCAGCGUCUCCCCCUGCCCCGUCCACGGACAGUACUGAGGCUCCCUCCGACAUUAUCACCGCUGACGCACCAGCUCCAUCCGACUCUUCCUCUAAAAGCGCCGCCGCAGCCCCGGCCUUCUUCUCUACUGUCUCUGCCGGUAGUGUCGCCCUACUCGCAGCUGCCACCUUGUUUGCCUUCUAAGUUAGUUACCCCUCUCACUGCAUGAUGCACUUUCUCUUUUUAUGCCCCGAAACUUAAUUCGAUGUUGUUCGGUCGAGACCCUACUUCUUCUGAUCAUUAUCAUCUUUCGUGACUAGUGAUUUAUUCUCUGUAACAUCGAAUCAAAUCCACGUUCUGUCCGUUUCACUCAUUCAACUCAUUAAUUAAAAGGCAUUCAACUUAAUCAUCGUUAGCUAGUUAAAUACGUAACCCCGUGUCUGGCAUUGCAUGGGUAAUUGAUUAUGCUAAUAUUUUCUAAAAGAGUAAUGCUACUUUUACCACAUAUAUAUACUAUAUUCUUGUAUCACCUUACGUGACAAAUGAAGUGGACAGUCAUAUCAAUUAAAAAAUAUGGGCUUGUCCAAUAUAGGUCCCUGUAAUUUCUAUUUCCUAGACAUAUAUCCAUCAUUCUAUAAAUCUAUGUGUAAAACCCAAUUUCAAACUUAAAUGACCAGUAGGAUAUAAGAGGUCGUAUUAUUCCUAUGUUUUUACAUCCUUGCCAUCAGACUUCAUAUUUUAUUUAUAAUUUAUUCAAAGCAUUUCAUUAAGUGCCAUAAUUGUAAUUAAAACUCCCUAUUAAUAGCAUAUCAAUCACCCCAUUUCUUUUGGUUGUCAUUCCCUCUAAUAUAUGGCCCCUUAAAAUUGCAAAUAAAAAAAAUGUAAAUUACAUAUCCAAUAAUGUACAUAUGAAAAAUAUAAAUAUAAAUAUAUACGUAUAAAAAUAUAGGUAUAUUAUUUACCAAAAAUAAUUAACAAAAAUAGGUCAAUUACUUUGUAAUUGAAAUUUUCGUACAUUUUUCAUAAAUUAAAAAUAGGUACACAGUAAUUUAUAGAAAAUAGGUACGUUGUAUAAUUGAAAUUUAUGCACAUUUUUUAUAAAUUAAAAAUAGGUACAUUACAUAGAAGAAAAAAAAUAAGUUCAUUAUACUAGGUAAUUUGUUUUACUAGGUAUACAUUAUUAGAGAAAAAAGGUACAUUAUUUAGAGAGAAAAAAUAGGUUCUUUAUACCAGGUAAAUUGUUUAAAAAAUAGGUACAUUAUUUUGAGAGGAAAAAUAGGUACAUUAUUUAAAAAUAGGUACAUUGUAUAAUUGACAUUUAUGCACAUUUUGUAUAAAUUAAAAAUAGGUACAGUACUUAGAAGAAAAAAAUAAGUUCAUUAUGCUAGGUAAAUUGUUUUACUAGGUAUACAUUAUUAGAGAAAAAAGGUACAUUAUUUAGAAAGAAAAAAAAAAGGUCCUUUAUACCAGGUAAAUUGUUUAGGGGACAAAAUAGGUACAUUAUUUAUAGAAAAUAGGUACGUUGUAUAAUUGAAAUUUAUGCACAUUUUUUUAUAAAUUAAAAAUAGGUACAUUACUUAGAAGAAAAAAUAAGUUCAUUAUACUAGGUAAAUUAUUUCACUAGGUAUACAUUAUUAGAGAAAAAAGGUACAUUAUUUAGAGAGAAAAAAAUAGGUUCUUUAUACCAGGUAAAUUGUUUAGGAUAAAAAAUAGGUACAUUAUUUUCAGAGGAAAAAAAGGUACAAUAUUUAGAAAGAAAAAAAAAGGGAACAUUAUUAGAGAAAAAAAAUAGGUACAUUAUUUUGAGGAAAAAAAAAGGCUCAUUUAAAAAUCAUAAAUAAAAAGGUGAUCAAUUUUUUUUUUAAAUAAAACAAGUAAUAAAGAAAAAAAAUUUGGUACAAUAUUUGGAGAAAAAAUAGGUUCAUUAAAAAAAAUUUUAAAAACAAAACAAUAAAUAGAUUAUCAAAUUAUUUUUCAAUAUAAUUAUAUUGUACACUAUUAUUCAUAAAACUAUAAUAAAAAAGAAUACUAGUCGUAUAAUUCAUGAAAAGAAAACAACAUUAAUUCCUAAAUUAAUAUUGAAUUUAAAUUAUUAAUACUUUAAAUAGAUUACUAGUCGUAAUUCAUAGAAGGAAAAUACCAUUAAUUCAAAAAUAGAUUACUAAUACUUUAAUGUGAAAUUUAAUAUUUAAUUUCAAAUAAGUUUCUAAAUUAGCUCCUACAUCCAUUACAACUAUUUGGAGAUAUUUCCAAAUUCAAUGGGUGUCAUUAGUUACACCCCUAAUAACACAUUAGCUUAUAAAUAGGGGUAGUUUUGGAAUUCGAAAUACAAUAACUUGGAUUUUAAGUUAUAUUAGGUAACUUGCUUAGUUGGAUCCUAGUUAUCAUGUAUUAUUUGAAAAAAUUGGGUAUUUUACAUAGAAAACUAAAGGAAAGGGUUGUAGGUGAUUUAAAAUGAAUUUUAUGGGUCUAAGCUCAAUUUACUAAAAAAAAUAUCAAUAAAUCAUAGAGAAAAGAAAAUACUAAAUUAAUUUUAAUUGAUGUGAUUAUCCAUCUCAUCUACCAUAUAAGAUAGUAUAAAAAUAUAGUAUACAAAUGUGAUAAAAGUAGCAUUAUUCUUUCAAAAAACCGAAAAGAAUUAGAAUCCUAAUUUAUAUUUUCUAUUAGUUUUUCUUACUUUGUGUUUGAGAAUGCAUGCAUGCAUGCAUAUAUAUUUGUCUGCCUUUGGACGAAAUUGAAUUACGUGCUGCAUGCAUCACAAACAAACGAAGGGUUUAGGGAAGAAUAUUUGACCAAUCUAUAGUAAAGUAAGUCAACCAAUUAUGAUCAGCAGUUAGCUAUGAUAUAAAUAAAUAAAUGAAUAAUUGCUUCUGGAUGGUACGUAGAGAGUGUGUGUGUGUGUGAAUCCACUCCACGCUUGUAGACCAGAACAUUAUUUAUGGUUAUGGACCGACCGACCCCAACAGGCCCCAGCACUUUUUUUUGCUUAAUUGACGGGGAAAAGGUUGCUACAAUUUAAUUAAGAAUUUCUUUCUGCAUGCAAAUUGUGUUUCUUUCUUUUCUUAUUGGGGUAAUAAUAAUUAAACAAUCUUACCAAGUCUUUUGCUUUUGUACAUGCAAAUUGCAAAUUGCAAAGCAUGGUAAUUAAGGUAUUUGGUAGGUAGGAGACAGCGCAUGCGCAAAACUAACCCAAGCAGAGUGAAACAGUUAUAGUUUAAAAGUAGUCAACACUUCUGGUUGCUGAAUUUUGAUUAAUUAAGCUAACAGCAGAGGUUUGCAAAGUCCUUGCUUUUCAUUAAUUACUACAUAAUUUCUUAGUUCUCGCUUUUGAUUAAUUGAUAAUUAGCAGCGGGAUCCCUUCCUGCAGAUAAGGGCACCGGCAGUAGUUGUAAUGGAGCCCACCAGAGAAGAAGGCCUUGCACUGAGGCUUGAAGCCCUGGCGUAGCUUGAAGAUGCUCCUGCUCCUGAUUGCCUGAAAUAUGCCCCGUUCAACAUCAGAUCCCCCUCUGACCUCCAGUUCCAACCCCUCCACUCACUUUCCGGUGCAUCCUCAUGUUUAGUCACCUACGUACAUCAAUUAAUUAUUGUUGAUUUAUGUUCAUGAAUUUAUUAGAAAAAACAAUAUUAUUGUAAACUAUUCUAAUACAUAGAAUGAGGGAUCGAACUUAAGUGCAAGAGAGUUGACACAUUGUAUGGCCGCGACCGGCGUAACUCACUUAUGCUAAAUUCUAACUAAGUAAUUACCUCUUUAUUGAAACGUGUAUUAGGCGCCAGAAAUCUAUUGCCUUGGCUGUUGAUAGUUGGAGCUGCACUCCCUCCAAUUGCAUACAUUUCCCAGUGUGUGUAGUCAUUGUUCACCACAUGAAAAUAUCCAUGUCUACACCUGCACGUGCAAUAUAUUAUUAGGCUCUAUUAAUUAAUUUACUUUCAUAUAUAAAAAAACCAAAGAGUUCAUUAAUUUUGGAAAAUUAAUAUAUCUGUAUGUAUCUUUAUGAAUUAUCACCUUGGCAUUCUUUGGACAAGGCCUUCUCCAAAAUGAUUAAAGGCAACUGUGACCUGCAUGCCCUUGUCUUGCGUAUAGGAAUCGCUGUGCCCCAAAAGCAUGACCUUAUCAUGAUGGGUCAUGUAGUUAUUGGAUAUGGUGAUGGCUGUGGAUCCAUGGAUGGCAUCAAUGAGGCCAUCAUGGCAAUUAGAGAGAGAGCAAUGGUCCACCCAUAUAUGUUUCCCACCAAAUAUGGACACCCCAUCGCCGUCCGAUAUAGUCCACCACCCUGAAUGCUGCGGCGAGUCUCGUAUGUUCCCGUUCCCAGCCUGCUUACAGUCGUGGAUGUUGAUGCCAUGGAUGAUGAUGUUGGUGGCAUAAUGGAUGGUGAUGCAUGGCCCUCCGGCUAUGUGGACGCUCGCUCCUCUACCGUCGAUGGUCUUGAACGAGUUCAUUACAAGCUCUUGCUUCAGCUGAACCACCAUGUCCCUUUUGAAUAUAAUCCACAAUGGCUCGUCUUGGAUCACUGCGUGUCUUAGGGUUCCGGGUCUAGGGUUCACUGGGUCGUCGUCCCCAGAGUCGGUGACUACGUAGAUUCGACCGUUUCUUCCUCCGAUGGCGUCCUUGCCGAACCCAAUGGCGCAGUCGGCUAAGCGCUGGCGGUUUUGUUCCCAGUUGGGAUCACACCUCCAGCAAUCGUCUAUGGGGUUGCCAGUUCCACAUGACAAGUAGCCCAAGUUCCUCCUAGAAGCAUUGAUGCUCCUAUACGUACGCAUAUACAUACACAAAAAUAUUAAACAUGAAAGUAAAUAACAAAAUAAGCAGCAAAAGGAAAAUAACAAAACAUAUGUGUCGAUCGUGGCGUUAUAUACCUAUGGACUUCCUGUGCUACCAGUUCAGGGUCAUGAAGUUGUGAGGAGGAAGCAAAAGUUGCAGUUAGGAAACAAGUGAUGAUGAGGAAAAUAAGCAAAAGUGAGAGCCCAGCCAUUUGGUUUCUUGCAGGGAGAGCGAGAUGGGCUUGGUUGAGUUGGAGAUACGUCGUUGAUUGAGUGGGGUUUAUAAGGGCGUGUAAAGCCGAGAGUGAUGGCGUGAUUUAAUUAACAUUAAAAAAUGGGUCCUACCAUGUCGUAAUUUCAGGUUAAUCUUCUUUCUUCCUAUCCUCCUAUCUGUUCGUUUAAAACAGUUAAACAAUAAAUCUUAGACUUUCAAACCUUCCAAUUGUCAAAUGGUUGACUUUAAUGUUUCAACAUUUCCACCUCCCACCGCACCCCGUAAACAUAAAGUCUCUCGUUCCCCCUUCACUUUUACACUUUUACACUUUUAUACUUUUACUUACCUCUCUCUCA
rnacentral:lncRNA from 1 species